CGGGCCGUAGUAUAACGGUAGUACGCGAGCAUGGGGUGCUUGUAGCGAGGGUUCAAUUCCCUCCGGCCCGA
rnacentral:tRNA from 3 species